GAGGAGAGACUCUAGGGCCCUGCGACACGAAAAGUCACGCAACGAAGUUCACUUUAUUACUUUAGGAAAGCAGCACCGAGGCACGAUACAUCGCGAUCAACGUGCGUCACGCACGAUGUAAUGAGCUGACACCCUAAUCACAACAUGACUGGCCACCUCGUUGUGACCUUCCAGCGGGUCUUCUCGCCCUUCAUCCAAAAGCAAAUCUCCCUCAUCAGCAGCGCCACCACAGCUCCCAUGUGAACGCCGAAAUCGAUGAUAUCCUAGAUGCGGCACGAAGCAGCUUGAUCUCGACCUCGGUGGCCGCUUGCGCUGCGCGGGAAACAUCGCAACUCCCCGAAGACGCCUGAAGGAAAGGGAGAGGAGACAAAGAGCUCGAUCGAAGCAGCCUAACAGGUGGCAAUGUGAUCGCCUCAUCGGCGACGACUACCCUACAGCAAAAGGAGAAAGGGGGAAAAUAUCAAAGCUUGAGAAGGGGCUGGAUAAACUCAUAGGAGGAAACUUACCUUGACCAUGGCCCAUGGAACGCGACAGCCCAAGCAACCCGAGAUCUGUCAAACAACCCGGUCAGAGGUACGCUCAAGAAGAGGCCAAAGGAC
rnacentral:lncRNA from 1 species